CGGAAAUCAAACCUUGGCCGCCAUGAUGACGACAUGUGGCACUUGAGUGUGUGAUUACGACUACCAGCAUGAACCUCAACACCUUCUUUGCUGUUCCACUAGUGUGACCCAUGAUCGGAUACAAGUUGUCAAGGAUAAACGGGAAGAGAAUCAUGUCAGCCCACAGACAACCGGUUGACCUGUGAGUCUUCAAGCAGUAAUGAUGACUACUCCUGCCCUAAGUUCCAGUUUCCUGAACAUCAUGUCGGCAUGAGAUUCUGUCCCCACCUGUCUUCAGUCUGGACCCAAUGAGGUUUUUUUUUUUACAGUGCGUUUACAGUCACAUGGUUUUUUUCGAGGCUUUGUCUGAGUUUCAGUGCUGCAGUUAUUUACCAUUCAGGGUUGUUCAGAAACAUCCAAUUUGUCAUUCUCAUUUGAAGGGCUUGCUGCUGUGAUUCUUUUGUGUACACCAGGAUUUCUUUGUAUUUUGGCAUUUUACACAAAUGUUUUUGAAAGAUGGUCAACAAAGUUGCACAAUUAAAUGUUUAACUGCU